AGCAGAGGACUAGCCUAGUAGACCUGGUUCUUCUAUCCCUUGGCUUGCCCUAUGCGACUCAGAUUUUGUUCCUUUUAUUUCUAGUAGAUGGAAGAAAGUGGAUAGCUUCUGACAGCUAUUGGAGAGGGAUGUAGGCAGGGAGGGAAAUAGGGAAGGAGACAGAGAAAGAGAGAAAGAGAGAGGGGGAGAAAGAGAGAUUAAUUUUCACAGGUGGGUGGGCUGUAUGGUAUAGUUCUUAACUCCAUGGUAGCUAAAGACUUUAAGGCCACAUCUCCCACUGGCCCUGUUCUUGGGAAGGACAAGUUCAGAGUGUGACUGUUGAGGCCAUCACAUUUCCAUUGGGAUCCUCUCUCACCUCUCUACACUCUUGAUUUUCCUAAGCAGUCCAAUAGACAUCUUCAUAGGGAUGGAUCUGCCCAUCAGGUUGGGACUUGGAGUUUAUUAAGAGGGAGAAUGGAAAAGUUUCAGACAGCCCUUACACAUGCUGGUGACUAAGUCUGAGUCCCUCUCUGAAAUUUAAGUCUUCCAGAUGUUGACUUCAGCUGGGGAGUGGGGACCUCCUACCCUGUUCACAUGGACACCCUGUCUUGUGUACAGCUGCUGUUUUUGUUCAGACGUGCCACAGGUACAGGGACAGGCUGGGGAGGGUGAAAACAGAUGAGAAACCUUACUAAGGGCCAGAGCCUUCCAAGCCAAGCAUAUAUCUGAUGUGUUCGUAGAGAACCAAGGCGAGAGACUCAGGACAAAGAGUGCUUUUCUGAGAGAAGAGGAAGGACUAGAACUCAGCACACUCCUACCAUCAAGUGCUGAGAACACCUUGGUUCUCUAGAUGUUCUGCUCAUUCACAUUUUUUUUCUUCCUGGCUCCUGUCCCAUCCUUCCUACAGAAUUCCCUGGGUCUUUCUAGAAACAAUUGCUAAGUUUUUGUAUCACUAAUACAGAUAGUGAGCAACUAGAAGUUAGGGACUCAGUAUCUGUGGAAGAUUCUUCUGAGGUCCUUAGCAUGUUCAUUUUGGGGGUUCCUUGCCUAAAGAAAUGUUAAGUAGGCACUGGAAGAGACAUUGUUGACCAACCCUUUACUUAUCUCAAACCUGAGGACUUCCCACCGCUCCACAGUGUCUUUUCCACUUGGCUAAAAACAUGUCCAGUCUUGACUCUUCACUAGUGUGGCAGGAUCACGGUGGGAGAAACGUGAAAGGAGGAGAGAGCAGGGAGAAACGUUCUAUCUGCUCUAUCUAAAGCUGUAAACCAGAGAUUUGAAAGCCCAGUUUAUUUGGACUUCUGGAAAAUUAUUUUAAUUCAUUUUGCUUUCCCAGAAGUCAUCACUAAUAAUAACUUGGAUGGUGUGGUUAUACACCACAAAUUCAAAUUUCAUGCUUCAGAAGGGUCCAGGUAACACUGACCACUUUCCUGCCCCUACUAACUUUAGCCUAAUCUAAAGCAUAUACGUGUUCUCAGAAUAGCCUGACAUUGUAGCUUCCUUCUGUUCGAGGCCAAAAUCACACCACAUAUUAUGGUGUUGGAAAUCUGUAUUUUCGAUUGUGCAUUUGAAUUAAAUUACCUGGUCACAUUUGGUCUGUAGAAACGAGAGUGUUUGGAUCUGUCUAUCGACUGGAGUAGGGACACUUGUGUUAGGUUUCUAGAAAACACAGGGAACCUAGACAAAGUCAGACACCAUGCCCAGAAUUGCUCAUCCUCAGUCCAGGAUCUUGACACGGGCCAGGAUGUGCAGCUGAGAUGCCUUUUCAUUGUCUUUCCUUCCCCUGCCCUAUGCAUUUUUCUUGCUUCUUUGUCCUCUUUCUUAUGCUCCAAGAGCCGUGUGUUGGGGUCCUUGCCUUACUGAAGGCAUUCCACCAUCUUUUUUUAUUUGCCACUAAGAAGGUCAAGAUUCAGAGGUUGCCACAUGUUCAGGCCAGCACCCUCAUAAGUGAUGAUAUAAAGCAUUGUGACCACCAUGCUGGUGCCAGUGCAUCAGGCAGAGGAGGUGCCAAAUGGUCCCAUGAUCCUUAGCAGUAGGGCUGUCCCUAAGAAGUAUCCUUAAAUGUAUCUUUAUCACGACUACUACUGGACUGCUUUUGCCAUGAAUGAUAUAACCAUUCUGACCAGGCUUGUUUUGUAUCUCUGACUUCCUUUACUGACUCUGUUCCCAGGGAGAAUAAUCUGUUUGCUUGUGGCUAUAGAAUGAUGGAGCUGACUCCUUCUCUGCCUAGGUACUGAUAGAAUUCCCAUAUGUGAAGAUCUCAAAACCAUAGGAAGAAAGAGAAUAAAGUAACUUGACCAUGGUCAUGGAAUUCUGCAGCUGUAAGCAUAGAGGUGUAGUGACAUUUUACCCCCGCCCCCAUGUCCCUGUGUUGGGAGAGCACAUGUAACCUGCCUAGAAAAAUCUUUGAAGAUUAAGAUUUUAGGUAAGAACAAAACAUAUACCCCAUUGUGUUUGAACAUGGCAGUAGCUGGAUUUUAUUGUCACUAAGCUCUCGAUACAGGUCAGCCUUAUUCUCCUUGGAGGAGGUGUGAGGGGCCAGCAUAGCAUGACCUGGCAUUCUGGUGGGGACUCUGGCACAAACAGAAAUGUCUGUUUCCUCCAUAGAAUGCUCUUCUGCAAUGGUGAUAGGGACAUUUUCUUCUUGCUGUGAGGAAAAGACAAAAGCUAAGCUCUAGACAGUUUCUAGUUAAGGUAGGGGACUUGAAAAAGCCCUUCAGGUAAGCGCACAGGUGUUCUUGGACUAUCUAAGGUAGGAGACUCUAAAAAGCCCUUCAGGUAAGCGCACAGGUGUUCUUGGUCUAUCUAAGGUAGGAGACUCUAAAAAGCCCUUUCAGGUAAGCGCACAGGUGUUCCUGGUCUAUGUGUCACCUCUUGCAACAUCCAUUCCAGGCAAAGUCACUGCCUCCCCAAAUCAAUUCUCUUAUUCAUGGUGGAAGUCAAAUCUCCUGGCACCAUGUCAAACAAAUUUUAAAAAUUGGGCAGCAACAGCAGAGUAUAAACCUAGGGUCUCUCUGAAUCCUGGGGUCUUUGUGAUGCCCAUGUUUCUGGCCGAUGACACCUGCCCCAUCUCCCUUCCCACCUAAAGCACUUUGUAGACAGGUACAUAUGUAGUUGACUUACACUCUCUCUUUCUUCUGCCUCUUGCCUUUCUUCCUUCUACCUUUUUUGCUCUUGCUGAGAUUAAAACCUCAGAUUGGAAAGAAUGAAUGACAGAAGUGUAGAUUUUCUGCUUUGGUCCUGCUUUGAGAAGGAAUCCUGAGAACUUGGAUUUAAAGGCUGGGAGAUGACUUUCUUGGGGACUUCAUUGCCAACGUGAUCCUGCUGAUGGGCAGCACCGAACUCCUAUUGUACUAGGCUUGGUCUCUGAAGUGUUCUGGGACUCCCUUUUUCUUCCUUGUAGUUAUUGAAUCUGCAUUUGUGUUGCCCACACUUAUAUGGAAAUAAAUGGUAGCCCACUUUGAAAAUCCAUGUAACAUUCAGAUACGUUGUUAUAGAGGCUGCCAAAGUUUUUCUUUUCUUUCAAUGAAAUGUCCUCCAAAAAAAGGUUUAAUUGUUUAUCACUCUUUGCUUGAAAAAUUCAGGAAACCUGCCUAACAAUGUAGUUCAUAGUCUCCACCUUUCCAUCUCUACCCCUCUCUUCCACCUCCAGUAUUCCUCUCUAGCCAGGUUUUUUUAUUCUCUCUUUCAAGCACCCCCCACUUCUGUUUAAGUGUGUAAUAUGUAAAGAGUGAGCAAGAAUGAGUUCACAGAGAAAUCAGUGGUUCUUAACACUUAGUAAAUUCCUCUUCUGUCCUCCAAAACCCAAAGAUUCCACACAUCAUGGCUACAUCAUAACAUGAACCCUCCAAAGACGUCUUUUGGUCACGUUUCAUACUUAUUAUAUUCUGUCCAGAUCUAUUUGCAUACAUGACUUCUCAGAUAUUGGACUUGAGGUCGAAGCUAUAUCUCUGUGGGGUUUGAAGGGGGAAGGAGCAAGGGCAGUGUACAUCUUUAAAUAAAGAUGCUAGCUUAGAGCUUUGACUAGCACAUUGUCAGGUACUGGAGGAGGAGAGCAGAGGCAUUAUGGAGGUCCCUAGGGGAGCUACCAGGAACGGUGGAUAUGUUCUACCUUGAUCCGUGGCAGUAUGGUCAUUGGGUGUGUACCAUUGUCAAAACUUCUCAAAUCUGUCCUGGAAAUAUUGUAACUUGCAUGUCAAUUACUCAAGAGGGUCAUUUAAGAAUUCUGUAUUUUUCAAGUCCCCGCUCAGAUUUCCAGAAUUAAGACAAUGAAACCGAUAGCACACGCUUAUUGAAAAUGCCAGAUUUGUGCCUGAAAGGCACAGGGAGUUUUACUUGGUUUGCGUCCUUCAUAGAGAGCUCUUAAGUGCUGCACCGGUGACUACCAGGUCAAUUUAAGGAGUUCUCAAGAGCAGCUGCUGGACUUUCUCUACAUAUUCCAGUGCUCUCCCAGCCGCCUGAGCAAGCCCUCAUUGUGACAAAGCAUUACCAGUCAUCAGGUCCCUGACUGGGAGGGUCUGUGUCACGGUCACUUAAAAAGGGGGGGAUGGCUGAACUGCUGUGGACUGAUGGGCCUGGGGUGAGAAAGAGAGAUGACAGGAAGAGCAGCCAGAGGCGAUCUCAACCGGAACCUCAUUGCUGGCCAGAGCUGGGGACCGUGAGAAGAUGGCAAAAGCCUGUAAAUGUUGGUGUCCAACAUGUUGCAUGAAGGAUUUUCAACAGAGACACAAAGCAAAGAAAUCACCCCAGAAAAGGAACAAAAGUCAAAGCGAGCCACACAUGCUUUGGCUGAAGGAGCUGCUGGAUUCCAAGCAGUACCAAGUCACAUUUGUCCCGUUGGGUGACUCAGACGGCAGUGCCUCCGGCUGCAGGCCCAAGACCACCAUCAUCAUCAUCGAGUUCGCCUCUCCACCCCAAGGUCUCUAAAUAAAUCGUUGUCUUCUCUGAAAAAAAAUGGUA